rnacentral:lncRNA from 1 species
AGGAGGGGCUGCGAUGGAGUCUUUAGCGCUGUGCCGCGCUUCUUUCUCUGUUUUCUCUUGGUAAAAACUUGCUGAGCCCUUAGUGUCAUCUUUCCUGAGGAUUCAUGCGGUGAUGGACAGAAAACAAAAACAAAAGGAACACGAAUAGCCAUCAAAUCGACUUUGUGUGGUAUCAGAGCAUUUAAGUGUACAUACAGAAAGAGGAGAAGAGAGGAGAUCUUAAAGGCAGCGCUUUAUUUAGAAGAACGUUUGAGGAUUCCUUUCACUGCGAAUCAAAACCACGUCCUGCAGCACUGCUGUAAAACGUGUAAUUCCAGGAACAGAAGUAGAGGGUCAAAGUUCUUUUAAAAUGCCUUUUUGCUGACUUAAUUAUUGCAACAUAAUCUUGUGAAGUGUCCUCAGAGUUCUUUCACCGCUUACCCUUCCCCUUAGAAGCAAGUUUACAUUUGUUCUCUUGAACUCACGCUUGCCGUACAGUUGGUUGCUGUGGAGUAUUUGUUUUCUAUAUUUACAAACAGUAAGUAGUCCAAAUGGUACACUCUGCUGCAAGUUUCCCAGUAAUCUAUAGAAGAAGACCACACAUACACAUUUCUAUACAAAAUAAUCCCUUUCCAUUUCCUCCAAGAGUUGCCAAACUCGAGCUGUUGAGUGCUUUGGUGGCUGUGAAGCAAGUCACAUGAUCUACUGUCACAUGGGUGAUGAAGAGAAAAGCUUUGCCAGCUGGAAGAGCAUCUCAGCCUGAAUGCGCCAGCUCGGGAGGGCAAAAAUACAGAAGCACAUUCCUCCAGCUGCCAGGAUUUAGGCUUUUAGAUGAAGUAUUGUGAUCCUUGCUGUGCACUGGGUGACUGCAGAUAUGGAUCAAAGCUUUGAGCGUGGCUGAGGGACGUGGCCAGGAAAAAGUCUGCAAAGAGAUGCCAGCAGGUAUUCUUUGUGAGUGACCAUACUGGAGUAGAGUACAGAACCAGGAGGGAACACACUUGGCUUAUGAUCACGUUCUGCUCUCUGCCUGGGACAGGAUCUGGAGUGCACAGCUCACCACCAGAGAUGGCAUUAAGAAAACAAAACAUUUUAGUUCUUUUGCUCAUUUACACAUAUAAGCACAAAAGCUGCUUGAGGAGCUGCAGGGGAUACAGCUGAAGGACACCCAUCUCCACUGAAACAGACAGGUCUGAUAGUAAUGUAGGUCCUAUCUUUGGAAAGACUUCAGCUCAUCUUUCACCUUCUCCUCAUAACUGGUGGGCAUACAAAGGCUGCUGACAACGCAUAUGAAUCACGAGUAUUGCCAUAUCAGAUGGACUUUUCUUAUAUUAACAGCCACACUCUCCCAUGUAGUUUGAGGAACCAAAAAAUGAUUGUUAAAAACAAGUAGCUUCCCUCCUCGCCCUGCCCAAUUUCCUGUGCUGGAUUGAGUAAUUACAGUCAGAAAAAGAAGCCUCAAUUGUCCCAUGACUUGUAACAGAAAUAAGCACCCCGGGAAAACUGCCCUAGGGCCCUACUGGUUUCUGCCAGCCCUGAGUGAGGAGUCUCAAGUCUUUCGCAAUUGUAUAUAUUACAUCUCUGCAAAGUGCACUGCAUCACUAUGCAUCACUGGUUUACUCAGACAGUGCCGUGAUCCAACCUAAUACUUCAUUUGUGGUAGAUUAUCAAGAACCAGUCAGCUUCUUUUCUUCAUAGCAGAAAUAAAAAGGCUAGAGGAAGGACAAUGCACAGUUGCUUUUUACAAUCCUCAUUUAAAUAAAUAAGAACAAAGAUAGGGAAGCAUUUGAAGUUUUGUUGUCUCCUCCUAAAAAUGCCCUUGCUGACAGCAGUCUUCUGUUACCCAGAGCAUCCAAAAUGAGCUGGGAUCUCCACAGGCACAAAAUUACCAGCCAGCCAAAAACUAUCAGUCUGAAUGCAAGAGGCAACUUACUUUCCAGUUCUGCAAUCAUGCAAGAAACCAGGGCAGACAGCAGCCCCCUUUGGGGAGCUGAUUUGGGAUGGGGGCUUAGGCACUGCCAAUUUCUCUUCCUUGUGUUGCCUUUGUCCAGUUACUUGUCUGAUAGAAAAGCUGUGAACAAAGUUCAUAACAGCUGCUCAGAAAUGCUACUUGAUCAUGUUAGCAGCUCAGCACGUUCCACCAGGUUGUUUACAAGUCUUACAGUUCUGAUACUGGACUUUUCCUGGAAGCUGAGCAGGCAAAGGACCAGUCAUGGAGCUAUCAGGGCUGACAUAAUGGGUAAUCCCAGUGUACUUUGCUCAUUGCAGACACUCACUGCAUUUCUUUCAGGUAGAAGCAGAUUGCCCAAGCUGCUGUCAGUGCCCACAACAUAGACAGAAGGUGCUUUUCUCACAGAUUUUUACAAGUUUCAGUUCUGCUAGUUGAGAGUGAUAGAAGAAACCACAGAAUGACAGAGGUUGGAAGGGACUUCUGAGUCCAUCUGAUCCAACCCCUGCUUCAGCAGGGACAUCCAGAGCCUCUUGCCCAGCACAUCCAGGUGGCUUAUGAAGAUCUCCAAGGAGGAGAUUCUCUGGGCAAUCUGUGCCAGUGUUCCAUCAGCCUCACAUUAAAAAGUUCUUCCUGAUGUUCAGGGGGAACCUCCUGUGUUCCAGUUUGUGCACAUUGCCUCUUGUCCUGUCACAAAUGAGCAUUCAUUCUUCUAACAGGAAAAAACGAAAAGUAAUAUCCGGGUCCUGACAUGUCCCUCUGAGCCUUCGUUUGUGAAAAGAUGAGUGACUCAUUCAUGCAAUUCAGUCUCUGCAAUCGAAACUGACUGACCUAGAACCCAAUGGCAUCCUCUUGGUGAAUGGUGCCCUCAAUCACCGUAUCUGUGGUUUGCCUGGAGCACUUGCGACUCCCUUUCAUGCUUUUCAGAUUUUGUGAUACGUGCUUCUGGAACUUCUUGGUGAGGAAGCAGUAGAUGACUGGGUCCAACACGCAGUUCAUACUCAAGAGGCACAAAGUCACCUGGUGAGCAUCAUUGAGCUGCUGGCGCAAGUGACAGUUUUCCUUCUUCCAUUGCUCCAGAACAGUCAGUGUCCAGGGCAGGUCCACAAUGUGAUGAGGCACAAAGCUUAUGAUGAACACAACCAGCACAGUGCAAACCAUCCAGAGCGCCCUUUGCUUGACAUGAGCGCUCUUCCGCUGCUGCCCUGAUUUGGAGAACAGGGUUCUGAUAAUGAUGAUGUUCCAGGUCAGGAUAAAUAGGAAAAUGACGUAGAAGAGGGUGCAGAUGAUGAUGUGAAUGGCAAGAACAGGUGUAACGUUGCCAGUAGAGUCAUAGCGCUCAAAGCAACGUGUAUAAUUAAUUGAGUCAAUUUUCUCCACAUUCGUAUUAUCAUCAAAAAUAUAAUACAAAGCACUGCCCACUGUUAUGAUCCAGAUGGCUGCUGAUAGAAAGAUACCCCUUCUCUGUGUGGUAAACUGAGCUGCUCUAAUGGGAUUUGUCACAGCUUGGUAACGGUUGUAUGUAAUGACCAUCAGGAAGGCGACAGAAGCAUAGGUGUUCACGAAAAAUAAACUGCCAGCCACACUACAGAGGAACUUGGGCAUGAUCCAGUUCCCGUGGUUGUGAUAGUAAACAAUCCACAGUGGCAUCGUAACCAGGAAGAGCAGGUCAGCUACUGUCAGGUUCAGCAUAAAUAUCUUGAUUUCAUUGAGUUUCUUGGUGGGGUAAAUACGGCUGAAAAUCCAGAGCACGUAGCAGUUGGCGACAAAGCCCAGAAUGAAAAUGAUGCUAUAGAAAACGGUGAAGAGGCUGUAGCGAAACUCAGAGUCUAUUGGGCACACACUGCCUGCAGCAUCACCUUUGCCCUCUCCAGACAUCGUGCUGUUGAGUGGACACGUGUGAACCACGAUUGCCCGCUGUAGCUUUUCUUCUUACCUGAAAAUAAGAAGCAUAAAAUGAGCUGAUUGGUACUGUGCCAUUGCUAAGCCAAAGCCCAGCUUUCAAUUUCAGCUGUCUGGAACCACAGGAGUUUUGCCCCGUGCCCUGGUUCGAGGUUCAGGCACCUGCUCUGUCCCCUUGGGUCCUGUCAUCUAUCCCAUUUCCACACCAUACUAUCCUCUGGGUCUUCAUCCAGUGUUUUUUGCUACAGUAUAGAUCUCGGAUCACUAAUCUCAGAAGACUUCUGCGUGAAGGUUCAUAUAACAGAUAAAACCAUCUCCUACUCUCCUCCCAGCUACACAGACUGAGCUUCUUCAUCUUUUACUAUUGGCAUACAGGGUUUUCUUGACUCUUAGCUACAGUUCUCUUUCUUUAAAGCCUGCCUGUUUUCUGUUGUGCCCUCAUUCUGAAUUCAGGCUUUUCUCAAAUCAAUUUGGCUCUUUUUUUUUUCUUUCUUCUUUUUUUUUUCCCCUACCAUUGCACCAUUCCUCUACCAUCUGCAUCAAAUGCAAUUGGAGCAGCAGCAGUUCUGUGCUUUCCUGUGAAAGUAACUGACAAACACAGUCAGCAAAGAGACACCUUCAGGACUUUAAUAUUACCAGUCCCCACCUCAGUUAGUAGUUCUUCAGACCUUACCUACAGCUUUGACAUCAAAUUUCUGCAUCAUCAGUACGAUCUGUGUUCUUGUCUCCGGUCUGGGUGGGAUUCAGACCGAUCUCUUUCAUACUCCAACCUGCUUAUUUCACCAUGCAGAGGAUGACCUGCUCUUCUCUCUAGCACCUGUGAGACACUGGACAGGCACUCACCUCUCCCAGUCCUGCAGAUCUGCUGGUUUUUGCUCCCUUAGGAAGUUGGAGGAAGAUGACUGACUAUUGCAGAGUCGCUGCUUUGUUGCAGGGAGCCACCAAAAAGAGUGUGAGGCUGCUCAUUCGCAUCACACAGGGCUUGCAACUAAUCCAAGCCAACACAGGGUUUGUAAAAUGCAGAACGUGGUUGUUUACCAUGUAAACCUUGCCAUAAGUCAUGAUGCCUAAGCUUCUUGUGCAAAUUAUGAGGGCAAAGCCGAGUGCUGUGCAUUGCAAUGUGCUUGCUGUGCUCUGCCAGCCCUAUGGACAUCAAGCAUUUCACAGCAAGCUUCCUCCUGGGCAAGCACCAUUCUGCCUCAAAACUGCAUCUUCCCUAGCAGCAGGGGCAUGAAACCCUUUCUGAGACACUUUUGUGCCCACAUGCUGUUGGUUCCUCAUUUGCAGCGCUGCAAUUUUCCUCUCGAAAUAGGGAAGUCAGCUCUACCUCAAGAAAACUGCCCCUUUCAUCAGAAAACUCUGCAAACACCUUUGUACUUCUUUGUUCUUCCCAGCUGGGAGGAGAGGAAGGCAGCACUCACCUUCCCCAGCCUGUCCCUCCUUACUCCUCACGGGUGCCUUACAGACAAGACAACUCUGGAUGCCCAUGACAUGCCAUGGGGCCUUUCCAUUGCUGCUGGCUGCUCUGCUCCCUGUUCUGAUUUAUGCAGGGCUCAAGGCAAGUCCUACUGUUAUCUCAUGGCUCCAUUUCUGCACCCUCGUUUAUAGAUGAAAAGUGCUCUCCCACUCAAUGAGAACCCACCCCAGGUAGAGACAUGAGACAAUUGGAAGGGUUUGCAUCUCUGACUCAGGGGGCAGCAGGCACAGACGCUUCAGGGAAGGGGUGAAGAGAGACUUGUGGGGACCUCUGUGCUUGAUGCACUCUUCUAAUGGCAGAAUAAGAAGUAAAAUGAAGUCCUAAUUACCUAAGAUCAUUAGAGAUCUCAUGGUUGGUUCAAAUCUGUAUCCUAAACUGACCACUCUGACUGGUUGCCACCUUCAGCAAAUAGUUCUGCUGUUUGGGGCUGAGGUCUUUUAUAUUACUCACAAAGUCAAUUUGGGCUCUGCUGCAGCGAAAUCCCUCUAUCCCUGCAUGUCUGCUGCUGCAUGCUUUGUGAACUUCCCUGCUGUCUUUUUCUACACCUGUCCCCAGCUGCUGGAUCGAGCAGAGAGGUGCUAAGGAAGUUAAAGCUGUGCAUCCCCCACCUGCAAAGCCCUACACAUGGAGAAGACAGGCUUGGGCUAGGGGCUACAUUCUGACUGGAAAGAUGAACACAAUGAUGCGCACUAAGUUGUUAACUGUGCCCUGGCAAAGGUGCAGGACAGGUGGUGGGAGAGGACAGUGCCUUCUACAGCUCUGGCAGGGCUUGGUCAAACUCAUCUGCCUUGGGUUGGCUGUGCAGUGCCAGUGCUGAUGAGGUCCUUUGGGGAAUCUCAGGACAGUUUUUCCCUUUUUGUUGGCCAAGCCAGAUGUUCUACAUUGUGUAACUAGAAGAGAGCAUGGCACCACUCCCCUCCAAACUUAUUCAAAGCUAAUUUUACUCUUCAGCCACAGCAACCAUAUGGGCCAUCUCACUCAGUCUCUUGAGGCAGUUCCCCUUUGUAUAAAACACAAACAUCCUCUGUGCCAGCAGGAGGGAAAAGUGGUGGCCAAGUUCAGCUAUGCCAAUGGCAGCUAUGGGUCCCAUUCCCAGUUGCACCAGGCUGCACCGUGUUACCCCAUCCCCGGUAGCUGUAGCCCAAAGCCACUGCCCAGUACACUUGUGCACCAGCUGAUAAUCUCCAGAGCUUUCUGUCAUCAGCUCCACCGUGUGCAGAACUAGAGGUGGAAGUCACCAGCUGCACAGUAGAGUGGCUGGGACAAACACAGACUCUGGUCCCAGUCUCUCCUAUGGGCC